ensembl:antisense Pcsk2os2 proprotein convertase subtilisin/kexin type 2, opposite strand 2
UCAAGGCAGGACACUGGAGGCCAUGGGGGACAGCUGCUUACCAGCUUGCUUUCCAUGGUCUGCUCAGCCUGCUUCUGUCUAGCACCUACAGUGAGCUAGACCCUCCUGUAUCAGUCACUAAUUAAGAAAAUGUACCAUAGGCCUGCCUAUAGGCCAUUCUGGUGAAGCCAUUAUCUUGAUGGUGGUCCUGUCUUUUCAAAUGUCUCUAGCUCAUGGUCAAGGUAACACAAAACUAGCCAGCACAGGUAGAGAUUAAUCAGAAUCUCUGUUACCAACUUCCCAGCUAUACUGUGAAAAACGCUUUAACUAUAAACCUAAUAUGUACACUACAGAGUUAAAGAGGCAACAAGCCAAGGGCAAAGAGGUCAUUCUUUUCCUGGGAUUCUGCAGACCAAACCCAGAGCCUUGUGAUUGGCAGGAAAGCACUUGACCAACGAGACAUGCCAUCUGCUAGUCUCUUUCCUUCUGUCUUGCCUAUUCUUUAAUGCCUUUUCAAGCAUUUACUGAAAAAAAUUUAGAAGUGGUCCACUGACAUUUCUAAAGAUUCAAAUAGAUGAGGUUUGUGUGUGAAGCAGAUGAUAGGCACUUGUGAAUGGCAAAGACUAUGCCAAACAGUGUGGGCACUGUUAAGAGUAGAGACCUAUCUCUUCAUCUCCUUCUCAUUUUCAUGACUAUUAUAUUCAUAAAAAAGCCCCUUUGCAGAAUGUUAAUAUUCAAAGACAAAUGUAAGAACUGCCUCUCAGUGACACUCACAGUCAGAUUCCUGUGUGUGGAUGAUAUCAUCUUUCCCAGGUGGGUUUUCCUUUAGAGUAAGUCAAAUAACUGAUAUAGAGGAGCCCUUUGCUUUUAUAUACUAUGCUGUCACUUACAAAGCAUCCCAAAACUGUCUAAAAAGUGUUAUCUUGAAACAAAGCCCAGGAAAAAGUCAAAUGAGAAAACAUAUUCCCCACUGCACAGUGCACUCUCCUCUCCAAAAUAUUUGCAUGCUGUUGUCUGAAGGUAAGCCAUGAAGAUUCUUUUCUUCCUUUCCAGCAAUCUUGGCAUGUGAUGCAGAGCCACCCCACUUGAGAAGGCCUUUCAGUUGCAGGCAGGGAGGUUACAGAUGGAGCAAAGAGAAGGAUCCAGCUCUGAGACGUGACAUUCAGAGGCAUGGUAAAUGACAGGAGCCGCCCAGGGAUGCCCUGUUUCACUGAGAUCUGCACUGCAUAUGUGGACAGAGGCAUUUGUUGCAGACUUGCCUGACCCUUCCAGCUUUAGGUGCCAAAACACACCACAUCCACUGUCAUCUGGUCCUCGGUUGGAAGCAUGCUUUUUGUCAAUCAUGAGCCAUUUGGAACCCAGGCAACACAACUCCCCUUCAGCUAUCUGAGGACCUGCCUGAAUCACCCUACUGCCCUGGUCAUUCCUGUCUCCUCAAAAGACGUCCCUUCAGCUGGGCUACUUGGAUGUCUGCUCCUGCAGUAUUGAGAUAAGGAAGGCAUACAGUGUGGUCACCAAACAUUCACAUGUCCCUGUUAUUCCCUGAAUGUUGGAUUGGAAAACAAUUUCUAUUUCAAGAGAACAAGAUAAUCAAAGGAUAAUUCUUGAGGGGCAUUGCAAUACUGGAAAUCCAAGAAUUUAGAAACGAAGCCACUGUGAAGAAGACCACACAUCACAGUGCACAGUGUUGGUAUGUGACUUUGCUGGUGACACCCAAGCCCUAAACAGAGCAAAAUAAACUCCGGAGGCUAAGAGCAAGAUGUUCUCAAGACUCAGUUUACCUGUUGAACCAGUCAUCUGUGUAUCGAGGGUAUGGGUAGGGGUCAUUGCUGCUGAAGUCAUAACUUGCAUCAGCGUUCUGAAAGACACAAGGUAUCUCAGGUCAGUAAAGCUGCAAACACACAAGGUGAGCUGAUGCUCUGAACACAUCAUCUUAUCUCCUCCCUGGAGGGGGUGCCAGUGCUCUGCGUUAUUGCAUUUUGCAUAUGUUUUUAUGUAUAAUAAUUGCAUAUUACAAGGAUAGGCAUUUGCAAAAUUGUGACAGAGCUGGUGUCCCCCUAUUUCAAGCCUUAAAAGGCGUGGCAAAUGAGAGCCCUGUGUUCUCCAGGUCUAGCUUCAUUUUAAGUUGGGGUAACCUUUUGUGUGUUAGGAAGCUCCACCUAGGGCUUAGGCUAAGCGUCUUUGGUACGUUUGUUCACUGGUGGCCAGAAUGCUUCAUUUCUCGCAUCAUGAGUGAGGCAGCGUUUAGUGUUUAAGUCCUGCUUUCUGCUGAAGGCUCCUUUUAUAAGGCUACUUCAGAACUGGCUCAUUUAAGUCUUGUCUUCUUUCCUCCCAAUGUGUUAACUUUUUUUUUCUCGUCCCCCACAGUGAGCACAGUUAACCUCAUUUAUUGUCUUUAUAACGACCAUGAAUAGUUCAAUGUAUGUCAGAGACAUGGAUAAAGAUGACUCAGUGUUGUCAUCCCUGCCCUUACGUCUCUUAGAGCCUAGUUGGGGGAACAAGUGUCCAUCAGCUGUUGAACAACGAAACAUGUAAUUGUACAUUUUUGUAGUCAUGUGCUCUUGCACCCUAUGAGAGUUAGGGGUGUGAAAUUCUGUCUUCCUGUAACUCCCCUUUUCCACUGUGAGACGCUUGCCACAUCAACUAAUCCAGACUCUGUCCAGUCAUUGCUAAGUGAUUUUAUACCGUCCUUAGGUUUCUAUUUAGUUUAUUUUUGCUCUAGGCCUAUGCUGAAAGAUGCCUACUGUUACUGAGUGAAUAAUACAGGCCUUCCCCAUUGCCUUCUCUGCCUUCCCAGGAAGGCUGGUCUGUGGAAAUUCUUCUCUCUAUUGUUUCUUCUUUGUUGAGUUUUGUAAGGAAAACUCCAGAAGGCUUCUUGAUUCACACUUGGUUAAGAAAGCGAUCUUCCCUCCAUCUUCAGUGUUUCCUUGAUUCCACAGUCCUGAGACAUUUUAAGAGCUUUUAUGUGCUCCUUUAUGAGGUAAAAAAUACUUUGGUAUGUGACACACUCUAACUUGAAAAGCUAACGUUUUGGUGUUGUUAUUUUUUGGGCAGGAUAUUGACUAAUUCCAGUUAUUUUUGUUUGACUUGUUGGGUGAUGAAGAGCUGCUAGCCAUCACUGUUUGCAGUGAUCAGAACUGUAGUACAGGCUCCAACUGUGAGAUGUGUGAUUCCAACAUAGGAAACUAUUUGCAACCUGGGAAGAUGUCAAAAGUAGCAGUCAAUUCCACAUCUUACCUUGUGCUUAAAGUAUAUAUAUAUGAAGAAUAUUAUAUCAAAAUAUCUUAUGAUAAACUUUCAAGGUAUGUAUAAAACCUAAGUGAUUUUCUUGCGUAAACUUGGGUCCCACCCCCCAAAUAUCUUGUAUAUAUGUAACUAUUCUUAAGUAAAAAAGUUAUCAAUCCC